GGAUGGGGAGAUCUGGCUGCAAUAUCUCUCACCCCACUCAUCAUUAAUGUUGAUUCACUUGAUCUGCCUGGCUAGGCUGCUCUCUCCUUUCUCUUUCACCACUCCAUAUGUGUUCCUCCUGAAGCUGCAUGUUCAGUGGAUCCCCAUUAGAGGAGGUCCAUUCUUUGGUCAAGGGUAUAUACGUAGCUAUGUUCCUCUGCUUGAAUUUCCAAAGAAGUUUUCCAGAUCCAUUUGCAUGUAAUUUUGAAAUGAGCAUGUUAAUAACAAGUACUUCUUAAUUUUUG
rnacentral:snRNA from 1 species